CCAGCCAGUUCUCUUCUCUGUGAAGGAAGCCCAUGCUCAAAGAACUUCUGUAUUACAUAAUUACCAAACACAUCAGUCAUUAAAGCAAGAGCUUGGGGCAUGAUUUCUUGAUAAACCAUGUUUUUCUCGUCAGUUGUGGCUGUCUCGAGUUUUUGCUGAAUGAACCGACUUCCAUACUGGUCCGCACUAAACUCAACAACAUGGCCAGCGAUUUCCGAAAGUUCAAGAUAUUUAGUUUUAUUGCUCUUAAACUCUUCUAGAAGAGAGGAUGCAAAGCUUUCAUCCAUGUUAACUCCCGAGUCCAAGUGCCAUGGUCCAAUGAUGCCCCCGGCUAAGUUACUCAUCCCAGAAGGGAAAUGCAUAUUCAAGUCAGUGUGUCUUAUUGGACUGCAAGGUCCAACUGGGGAGUUUGGAAUAACAGGACUUGCCAAAGGACUUCCAGGAUAUGACAUACCAGCACCAAAGGCAGGAUUCCCAUAAUAGCCAUGAUGAUUAGAACCACCAGAUUUACUGCCUAUUGGAACACCAUACUGUGAUUUCUGAGAUGAUAAAAGAGCUCCAACACAAGCUUUCUGAAGUUCAAGUAUAUUCAUAUAAGAAUUACCUAAGUAGUUCCUAUCAAUUGAGGGAUCAUUAAGAGCCGCAACAUACUCAGGAGUCCUCAAGUACUGGAGAUAUAAUGGAUCAACAAAAGGCGCCUGAAGGGUGCUCCCAACCAUUGGACUACCCACUCUUCCAAAAUUAAGUGUCUCGGAGGCAGCAGCUGUUAGAUUUGCUCCAGACCCCAGUCCUCCUCCAAGCACUCUUGAGUCCAUUCCAGGGACAGCCACAGCUGAGGCUGCAGCAACAUUUUCAAACAACAUUGGUAGAUUACCAGUG
rnacentral:misc_RNA from 1 species